rnacentral:rRNA from 1 species
GACGAACCGAGCGAACGUUGUUCGGAAUCACUGGGCUUAAAGGGCGCGUAGGCGGGCUGUCAAGUCUGGGGUGAAAUCCCGCGGCUCAACCGCGGAACUGCCUCAGAUACUGACGGUCUCGAGGGGGGUAGGGGCGAGCGGAACUGUGAGUGGAGCGGUGAAAUGCGUUGAUAUUCACAGGAACUCCGGUGGCGAAGGCGGCUCGCUGGACCCCUUCUGACGCUGAGGCGCGAAAGCCAGGGGAGCAAAC